rnacentral:rRNA from 1 species
UACAGAGGGGGCAAGCGUUGUUCGGAAUUACUGGGCGUAAAGGGCGCGUAGGCGGCCUUCUAAGUCGAACGUGAAAUCCCUGGGCUCAACCCAGGAACUGCGUCCGAUACUGGAAGGCUUGAAUCCGGGAGAGGGAUGCGGAAUUCCCGGUGUAGUGGUGAAAUGCGUAGAUAUCGGGAGGAACACCAGUGGCGAAGGCGGUUCUCUGGGACGGUACUGACGCUGAGACGCGAAAGCGUGGGGAGCGAACAGG